UGAAUUCGCUGAGCGGCGAGAGUGGAGUGGGUGCCUGGGUGGGGGUCAGGGGCGGUAGCCAGGCAGAAGCUGGAGGGAGAAGAUGGAUUAGGAGGCGCCUCUCUUCCCUCCCCGCGUCAAAGAUUAUGAAUGGAGAGCUACAUCCCAUAGGGUGGCAGAUGAAGAUGUGCAAGAAGAAGACACUAACAAUUGAAUUGCAGAUUGAGGAGAUGAGAUUAUGGUGACAGAAUCCAUCUUCGGUGUAUGUGCAUGAAGAAAUAAGCCAAAUCUACAUCUAUAAAACCGCGGGGAAGGAAUGAGAUAAUAAUCAGUUGCAGGUCUGCUUAGAUUUUAAUCAUUUAGUGUAGUUCGUGGCAGGAUCUGAUACCCUAUUUCAAUAGUGGAGAGAAUUAGAAAGCAUUUUCUUUUUUCAUAUCUACUAUUAUUGGUUAUAUAAAAGAAGUAUCAAAUGGUUUCUGCUUUCAUGGAAUAUACUGUCCAGUCACAAAGGAAAGAAGAUGGAGAGAUGAUUAAAAAAAAAAAAAAGAACAAA